ACGGCUCAGUAACACGUGGCUAAUCUGCCCUUGGGACGAGAACAACCCCGGGAAACUGGGGCUAAUUCUCGAUAGGUGAAGAACUCUGGAAUGAGUCUUCGCUUAAAAAGCUUCACGUUAUGCUCGUGAAGUCGCCCAAGGAUGAGGCCGCGACCGAUCAGGUUGUUGGUGAGGUAAUGGCUCACCAAGCCUUUUACCGGUGCGGGCCGUGAGAGCGGGAGCCCGGAGAUGGGCACUGAGACAAGGGCCCAGGCCCUACGGGGCGCAGCAGUCGCGAAAACUUUGCAAUACACGAAAGUGUGACAGGGCUAUCCCGAGUGCCAUCCGCUGAGGAAGGCUUUUACCCAGUAUAGAUCGCUGGGGGAAUAAGGAGAGGGCAAGUCUGGUGUCAGCCGCCGCGGUAAUACCAGCUCUCCGAGUGGUGUGGAUGUUUAUUGGGCCUAAAGCAUCCGUAGCUGGCUAAGUUAGUCCCUUGUUAAAUCCACCGAAUUAAUCGUUGGAUUGCGGGGGAUACUGCUUGGCUAGGGGACGAGAGAGGCAGACGGUAUUUCCGGGGUAGGGGUGGAAUCCUAUAAUCCUGGGAAGACCACCAGUGGCGAAGGCUGUCUGCUAGAACGCGCCCGACGGUGAGGGAUGAAAGCUGGGGGAGCGAACCGGAUUAGAUACCCGGGUAGUCCCAGCUGUAAACGAUGCAGGCUAGGUGUUUGGACGGCCACGUGCCGUUCUAGUGCCGCANGGAAGCUGUUAAGCCUGCCGCCUGGGGAGUACGAUCGCAAGAUUGAAACUUAAAGGAAUUGGCGGGGGAGCAC
rnacentral:rRNA from 1 species